rnacentral:lncRNA from 1 species
AGCGGAAACUUCAAUUCCAUAGCUUAUCAGUGCCUGCAGAAGCUUCCUUCCUCCAACAAUAAGUUCACGUACAACUGCGACAAUCAUACCUUCAAUUACCUCGUUCACGAUGGCUUCAGUAAGUCUGUUGUUGAAUAAUUUUGGGGAUUAUGUUAUUUUAUUUGUUUUUUUUUUUAAUUUUACCUGAUCUCUGCUUGUGCCGAUCGUAAUUUUUUUUGUUGAUGAUUGUUGUGGAUUUUGAUUUCCACGAUUGGUUGGUGUUUCUUUGAUUGACUUGCAGUAUCUCAUUUCCAUUUGUAAGUAGAUUUACCAGAUCUGAACAUAAAGUUCUUUUAUCCUCCUUAAACAAAUUAAUGAAUUAAUAACUGAAUUGUACAUCAGAUUAAAAAAAUAUAUAAUAUUUGUCCCAAAAAUGGAUUGGUGGAUUCUGGAGUUCGUAAGAGAACGAUAUUUACCCUUGGAUCUUGAUGAAGUGCUAUUAUGGACUCAUCUAUUAUAGAAACAUUUCAAUUUGAAUAAUUGUAGGGUUGUCAUGAAUAAUUACUGUUUUUCUUACGCUGAUAUUAUUUGCUGAGUGAUGCCACAUUGGAAAGAUAACUAUUAACAUAGAUAUGUAUAAGCUUUGAUCGGCCAGUAAAUAGUAAUGGAUUAACAUAGAAACACUGACUUGUUAUGCAGCAUAUUGUAUUGUUGCUGAAGAAUCGGCUGGAAGACAGCUCCCGAUGGCUUUUCUGGAGCGUAUCAAAGAUAACUUUGUGGCAAAAUACGGUGGUGGGAAGGCUGCAACAACUCCUGCUAAUGGCCUGAACAAAGAAUUUGGGUAUUUAAAUCUCUUGUUUCUGGCGAAAGAUUUAUAAGAAUUCCUGUUUUGUUUUGUCAUUUAACGGUAACAAAUCUUUAACCUGGAUAAUCCUUAUUGAAUCAGACCAAAGUUGAAGGAAC